rnacentral:rRNA from 1 species
UACGUAGGGUGCAGGCGUUAAUCGGAAUUACUGGGCGUAAAGCGUGCGCAGGCGGUUGUGCAAGACAGAUGUGAAAUCCCCGGGCUUAACCUGGGAACUGCAUUUGUGACUGCACGGCUAGAGUGUGUCAGAGGGGGGUAGAAUUCCACGUGUAGCAGUGAAAUGCGUAGAUAUGUGGAGGAAUACCGAUGGCGAAGGCAGCCCCCUGGGAUAACACUGAUGCUCAUGCACGAAAGCGUGGGGAGCAAACAGG